AAAUUGAAGAGUUUGAUCAUGGCUCAGAUUGAACGCUGGCGGCAGGCCUAACACAUGCAAGUCGAACGGUAGCACAGAGGAGCUUGCUCCUUGGGUGACGAGUGGCGGACGGGUGAGUAAUGUCUGGGAAACUGCCCGAUGGAGGGGGAUAACUACUGGAAACGGUAGCUAAUACCGCAUAACGUCGCAAGACCAAAGAGGGGGACCUUCGGGCCUCUUGCCAUCGGAUGUGCCCAGAUGGGAUUAGCUAGUAGGUGGGGUAACGGCUCACCUAGGCGACGAUCCCUAGCUGGUCUGAGAGGAUGACCAGCCACACUGGAACUGAGACACGGUCCAGACUCCUACGGGAGGCAGCAGUGGGGAAUAUUGCACAAUGGGCGCAAGCCUGAUGCAGCCAUGCCGCGUGUAUGAAGAAGGCCUUCGGGUUGUAAAGUACUU
rnacentral:rRNA from 2 species